AUUGAACGCUGGCGGCAGGCCUAACACAUGCAAGUCGAGCGGCAGCGGGACCUUCGGGUUGCCGGCGAGCGGCGGACGGGUGAGUAAUGCCUAGGAAUCUGCCUGUUAGUGGGGGAUAACGCGGGGAAACUCGCGCUAAUACCGCAUACGUCCUACGGGAGAAAGCGGGGGCUCUCCGGACCCCGCGCUAACAGAUGAGCCUAGGUCGGAUUAGCUAGUUGGUGGGGUAAUGGCCCACCAAGGCGACGAUCCGUAAAUGGUCUGAGAGGAUGAUCAGUCACACUGGAACUGAGACACGGUCCAGACUCCUACGGGAGGCAGCAGUGGGGAAUAUUGGACAAUGGGCGAAAGCCUGAUCCAGCCAUGCCGCGUGUGUGAAGAAGGUCUUCGGAUUGUAAAGCGCUUUAAGUCGGGAGGAAGGACUGUAGGCUAAUACCUUGCAGUUUUGACGUUACCGACAGAAUAAGCACCGGCUAACUUCGUGCCAGCAGCCGCUGUAACAC
rnacentral:rRNA from 1 species